GGGGAUGUAAUGGUUUCGACGGGGGUUUGGAGUCUAGAGUAGCGAGUCAUGUUUACUCUGGUUCAUGUUAAAAAAUCGGGGGAUAAAUAUAAUCGCAAACGAUAAUUACGCUUUAGCAGCCUAGUAGCUGCUCGUCCUGCUCAGCCUCCCGCGAGCUAAGUUAGGGCGUCAACUCAGCGGGGCACUGCCUACCGGGAUGUCUCGACCGGUAAGCGGAACAACUGGGGCUGGCCAGACCAAUAUCCUGUUGCUGGGAGAUAGGGAUGGCGAGAUUCAAAGCAGCAACUACACUCGUAGAAGCUUUAGGUAAAGAGCUUUCGGACAGGGGUUCGACUCCCCUCAUCUCCACCA
rnacentral:tmRNA from 1 species